UACGGGGGGAGCAAGCGUUGUUCGGAUUUACUGGGCGUAAAGGGCGCGUAGGCGGCCACCGCAAGUCGACUGUGAAAUCUCCGGGCUUAACCCGGAACGGUCAGCCGAUACUGCGGGGCUAGAGUGCAGAAGGGGCAACUGGAAUUCUCGGUGUAGCGGUGAAAUGCGUAGAUAUCGAGAGGAACACCUGCGGCGAAGGCGGGUUGCUGGGCUGACACUGACGCUGAUGCACGAAAGCUAGGGGAGCAAACGGG
rnacentral:rRNA from 1 species